UUGAUGAAAGCCAGCCCAGCCCUCACCCUGCAGCUCUGCACAGGAGUGCAGCCCUCGAGGUUCAGGUGUUUCCACUUGAUGAUCAGGACUGAGCACAGACGGCUCACCAUGGAGUUUACAAUGAGAUGGGUUUUCCUCCUUUUCAUUUUGAAAGGUGUCUUGUGUGAGGAGCAACUGGUGGAGUCCGGGGGAGGCUUGGUGCAGCCUGGUGGGUCCCUGAGACUCUCCUGCGUGGCCUCGGGAUUCACCUUCAGUAAUUGGUACAUGAGCUGGAUCCGCCAGGCUCCAGGGAAGGGGCUGGAGUGGAUCGCAGCUAUCAGUGAUGAUAGUAGUGAUAUAGAAUAUGCAAACUCGGUGAAGGGCCGAUUCACCAUCUCCAGAGACAACAACAACACGCUGUAUCUGCAGAUGAGCGGCCUGAGACCCGAGGACACGGCUGUGUAUUACUGUGCUACACAAAGUGAGAAAAUGUCACUAUGA